rnacentral:rRNA from 1 species
AUGAAUGGCUCUGCUCUCCCACCUCCUCCCCUCCCACCUCUCCACCACCACCAAUGGCGACCUCUAGUUCUGCCCCAUGUGGAUGGACUUCUGCAUUGGGAUUUUGCUCUGAGCCUUGCCCUUGCAGAUCAGGUGAGACGCAGGUUUGGAUCGACAGUUCAUUUCUCUCCUUCUCGAGAUUCCAAGGAGUUCUUUCUGGUGGUCACGUUCUCCUCAGCCUCCUUUCCUCUCUCGGUGGAAUCAGUUGGCAUUGCUUUGCAAUGCUGCCUUGGGGGUUUAUGUUCAGGUUUCAAUGUUGCUUAG